CCUGGACCCUAAUACACGACCAAGGUACACACUAUAUGCAUGAUUUGUGUACUAAUAAAAUCACCCCUUCAAAUACGAACGUUCAAAUGCAUCACUGUUGUCCUCCAAUAACUAUCACGGUUCUGGAUCUUGUCCGCCGAUUCCAGUCAUUUUCGGCAAUAUCUCUUUAGAAUUUUACUGUAUUUAACUAGCCCGUAAUUGAUCUUAUUGGUAUUCGAUUGUCUCGACUUAUAAAAAGUGUUUGUGAACGAGUAUACGAAAUUGUAGAGUGG